AAAGCUGCCACUGGUCAUAGUUAACACACCUCAAAAGUUGUUUCAUGUUGUCAUAGGUUUCCUUGAUAUUGACUGCAUAACCAACUGGAAUUGAUGGCAAAAAAUUGCCAUUAUGCAGCAAAACAGCUUUAAGACUCAUCUUCGAUGAAUCAAUGAACAGUCUCCACUCAUCGGGAUCAUGGACGAUGUUGAGGGCUGCCAUCACUCCAUCGAUGUUGUUGCAGGCUACAAGAUCACCUUCCAUGAAGAAGAAUGGGACAAGAUCCUUUUGAUGGUCACGGAACAUGGGAACCCUAACAUCACCUGCCAGGAGAUUCCACUGCUGAAGGUGCCACACCAUGAGCGGGAAGGACCGCUCAGCACUUCCUGCGAGCUGAGCCUCCGAUUGUUUGGGGAUGCGAGGCGGAAAGGAGGAGCGGUCGUGAGCGGAAAAACAAUUGAGCAGCACUCGGGGCUCCGAGAUGCCAAACGAGAAGGCACUGCCAGCAGCAGCAGGCGAGGAGAACGCUCCUGAACGAGACACGUGGAAACCGGCCUGGUCAUGGUUGGCGGGGGACUUACAAAAAACGUGUAAUCAUCAUCGUCAUGCGGCAAUAACUGAACAUUAUCUCGCCUUUAUUUAUUCGUUGCGCGUUUCAAAAUAAAUAUGUCCUAGGUGUGCACGAAACUAUAUAUAUAAAAUAUAACACACCUUUUUGCGCGUUGUAUAAUAUUAGCUGUGUGCCCUUGGAAUCCAAUUCUGGUUACAUUAAUGACAAUGACAAUAUAAUUAAACACAUCAGCCGCUACUAAGCUUAGCUCUGUUAAAAAUGUGUUGGACUCAGAUGCCAGUGAAGUCGACUACAAUUACAAGUUACACACCGUGGACAGAAACAAUAACAACAACUUACAGACACCAUGCCAAUCCACUGCUGGAUGAAAGCCUCCCCCGCUCUGUGUCGGUCGUUCGGGUUGUUCACCACGUUGGUCGGCGAAGAGAGUAUACCUAUAAUACACCCCGUGUAUAUCAGUAUAAAACAAAGUCAAAGAUUCCCCGUAUAGCCUGAACAGACUGUUGGAGCAAGUGCUGUUAGCGAGCACCUGUGAAGGCCGGAA